GCUUACGGCCACACCACCCUGAGCACGCCCGCUCUCGUCUGAUCUCGGAAGCCAAGCAGGGUCGGGCCUGGUUAGUUCUUGGAUGGGAGACCGCCUGGGAAUACCAGGUGCUGUAAGCAU
rnacentral:rRNA from 1 species